GUCGAACGCUGGCGGCGUGCUUAACACAUGCAAGUCGAACGGAAAGGCCCUGCUUUUGUGGGGUGCUCGAGUGGCGAACGGGUGAGUAACACGUGAGUAACCUGCCCUUGACUUUGGGAUAACUUCAGGAAACUGGGGCUAAUACCGGAUAGGAGCUCCUGCUGCAUGGUGGGGGUUGGAAAGUUUCGGCGGUUGGGGAUGGACUCGCGGCUUAUCAGCUUGUUGGUGGGGUAGUGGCUUACCAAGGCUUUGACGGGUAGCCGGCCUGAGAGGGUGACCGGCCACAUUGGGACUGAGAUACGGCCCAGACUCCUACGGGAGGCAGCAGUGGGGAAUAUUGCACAAUGGGCGGAAGCCUGAUGCAGCAACGCCGCGUGCGGGAUGACGGCCUUCGGGCUGUAAACCGCUUUCGCCUGUGACGAAGCGUGAGUGACGGUAAUGGGUAAAGAAGCACCGGCUAACUACGUG
rnacentral:rRNA from 1 species